GAUGAACGCUGACAGAAUGCUUAACACAUGCAAGUCUUUGGCGAAGCUGUGCUCGCCCAGCCUAGCCAAGGCGGACGGGUGAGUAACGCGUAAGGAACUUGCCCUGCAGUCAGGGAUAACAGACGGAAACGACUGAUAAGACCUGGUAAAGUCAGGCGGACUCAUGUCCAGCCUGAUGAAAAGAGAUGCUGCAGGAGAGCCUUGCGUCCUAUUAGCUUGUUGGUGGGGUAACGGCCCACCAAGGCGAUGAUAGGUAGCCGGCCUGAGAGGGUGGACGGCCACAAGGGGACUGAGAGACGGCCGUUACUCCUACGGGAGGCAGCAGUGGGGAAUAUUGGACAAUGGGGGCAACCCUGAUCAAGCAAUUCUGUGUGCACGAUGAAGGUUUUCGGAAUGUAAAGUGCUUUCAGAAGGGAAGAAAAAAAUGACGGUACCUGCAGAAGAAGCGACGGCUAAAUACGUG
rnacentral:rRNA from 1 species